CAAAGGGUAGUUUAAAUAAAAUGUUAGUUUUGGAAAUUAAUGAUAAGAUUUUCUUUCCUUUGA
rnacentral:tRNA from 1 species